GGUCAGAAUCUGCGGGCUACAGCAGGCUUGGCUGAAAUCUGCUUGUGUCACUGAAAACUAAACUCCACCUAAACAGUGUUAAGAAGUAAAAGUCUGUAAAGUCAAAAAUGAACUGGAUACCAGGAAUGCAGUUUGGACUUUUAGUGGUCAUGACUAUUCUCUCGGGACUGACUCCACUGGGUUUUUGUACCAACUGUAAAUUAAAUGAAAACUGCACUAUCAUUGUGUUGUUUGAUGGUGACUAUACUGGACCGGUACCACUGCCAAAUUCUACCUGUAGUAAUCAGUCACGUGUAUCAGAAUCAAACACCUGUGCUUUCUCCUUUGAAACAGAUGAACUGA